rnacentral:rRNA from 1 species
UGAGGGAAUAUUGGGUCAAUGGGCGCAGGCCUGAACCAGCCAAGUCGCGUGAGGGAAGACGGUCCUACGGAUUGUAAACCUCUUUUGUCGGGGAGUAACGUGCGGGACGCGUCCCGUAUUGAGAGUACCCGAAGAAAAAGCAUCGGCUAACUCCGUGCCAGCAGCCGCGGUAAUACGGAAGAUGCGAGCGUUAUCCGGAUUUAUUGGGUUUAAAGGGAGCGUAGGCGGACUAUCAAGUCAGUUGUGAAAGUCAUCGGCUCAACCGCUGAAUUGCAGUUGAAACUGGUAGUCUUGAGUGCACAUGAGGAUGGUGGAAUUCGUAGUGUAGCGGUGAAAUGCUUAGAUAUUACGAAGAACUCCGAUUGCGAAGGCAGCUAUCUG